rnacentral:piRNA from 1 species
UGGACUCAGGUGGCUGUCUCAUUUGAUUGU